AUAAGGAAAAGAAAAAGAAGAUUGCAUUGAAAUGGGAGAGCCCGAAGGGAAUUUUCCGAGUUCGAUAUUUGGAAGAAGGGGAUAUAAUUUUUUUCGCAACCAGAAUGGGGUUAGGGUUCUUGGUGGGAGUUCGCAUUGCGAUUUGAAGGUUGGUUUUGGAAAGAAAUUUGAAGGCAACAGAGUGCACUGAAAUUUCGUCUGGUAUAGUUGGUGCACUUGGAAGAAGGGGAAGUGGUGUGGAUCUUCGAUUUCGGUGGUGCAUUGGCGAGGUUUUUGUUCGUCUGGUCUUAACCACCCUCACUUCACUGCUCAGGGUUUUCUUCACUCGCGCCGUUCACACUUUACUUCAUUUAAUUUUGUUGAAUCAGUAUACAUUUUGAACUUUCUCGGAAGCUCAGUGUUUCCGUUGGACAUGGAAACUGAUGAAUCCUCUCGCAUGCUUCCCUUCCAGCUUCAAUUUGAUAAACCCCUCGCAUCUCAGAUCACGAUUGCGGAGUGGAAUCCGGAGAAGGACUUGCUCGCUAUGGUUACUGACGACUCCAAGAUCCUGCUCCAUCGUUUCAAUUGGCAACGGUUAUGGACCAUAGCUCCAGGAAAAUGCAUCACAUCCUUGUGUUGGCGUCCUGAUGGAAAAGCAAUUGCUGUUGGGCUUGACGACGGGAUGGUGUCACUGCAUGAUGUUGAGAAUGGAAAGCUGCUAAGAAGCUUAAAAUCACAUUGCGCAGCCAUUAUAUGUCUCAACUGGGAGGAGGAAAGUCAGCUCAUUACAGAUGACCAUGGUUAUACUUCUAAGUAUGAAGAUAGAACCUCUCGUUUCUUUCCUCCUGCUCCAAGAGUUCCUCGGAUGCCUGGGUUGGUUUCUGGCGAUAAUGGGUUCAUGGAUGAUAGUGAAGAUUCAUUUCAGGAGCUGUCAAAUUCUUCUCACCAACGAUUCAACAUCCUAUGCAGUGCAGAUAAAGAUGGAAAUAUUUGUUUUAGUAUAUUUGGAAUCUUCCCUAUAGGGAAAGUUAACAUACACAACCUCACUUUUCCUACUUGCCAUGAUGGUGCAGAAACAACUAACAGAGUUUCAAAUGCUUCUAUACAGAAGGUUGCAUUAUCAAAAGAUCUCUGUCGUUUGAUAGUCAUGUGCUCAGGGGAUCUUGUUAAAGUUGGUGCUGACUUGGGAGAAACUAACAUGGCUGGGUACAAUGAGCAUGGUCUGCAUUGCUUAGCCCUGAACACUACUAUAUUUUGGAAUAGGAAAAAUGAGCUUCAUCAAGUAGCUCAACAAGCUUCUAACAUUGAGGAUUUGACUGAGGUUGUUCGCACAUCAUUAUCAGUUAUGUGUAGGCAGUGGUCUGAUGCCAUGAACACAUUCCAGGAGAAAUUUAGCUCUUUGUCUACUCUGAUUAUAAAUCAUGGACUUGAUUCCUCACCCCAAGAGGAGCUUCUGAGCCUUUUGGGUGGUGCAAGGACUAGCCCACCAGUUCAUCAAUUUCUCGUUAACACUCUGGGAGAAGUGGGUGUCAAGCGUAUUUCAAAGGUUCUCUCUGGUGCAGGCAAAGAACUUCAACGUAUUGUCUUGGACCACCUCCAGCCUGCUGUAGAAGUUAUUGGAUUCAGAAUAGGAGAACUAAGAGGGCUUUCAAGAUGGCGAGCACGCUAUCACAGCAUUGGCUUGGAUGAAUCACUUAUUAACAAUGCAACAGAAAAGGCUGGUACGUUACUUGUACAAGUUGAACGAUUUAUGAGGGUUCUUUCAUCUGUUGUGCAGCAGUACUCAAACUUCUUCAACUGGCUAUUAAAGUGUAUAAAAUUACUCAUGUCAGAACCAAGUGACCAGCUUCUACCGUAUAACAGUGAACUUGUUAUUAUAUUCUUGAAGUUUCUAUACGAGCAAGAUCCAGUUAAACAAUUGCUGGAAAUAUCUGAAAUAGAAUAUGAAGUUGAAAUUGAUUUGGAAACAAUGCAAAGAGUUAGAGAAUUGGUUCAAUUUGGGGGAUUUUCAGACAUUGAGUAUCUAAGGAGAACAUUGGCUAAAGAAUUUCAGUUGAUGGAACUAAGCUUUAAAGAGGCUUUUCAAAUGCCUUUUACCACAAUAUCAAGAAAGAUACUCUGCGAGGAUAUACUACCAUUGUUUCCUGUACCAACUUUGCCAAAAUCAUCUUCAUUCAUGAGAAUUCCCACUUCAGUAUCAUAUUAUGAGGAUUCUUCUGGAGCUUCUGUGACACCUCAAACUGGUCAAAACCAGUUUAUUGAUUAUGUAUCUUUCCAAGUACCUGAUGAGUGUUUCUCGGAUAUUAUAAAUUGCCUAUGCAUAGUUAGAGGAUUCAUGCAUGAUUCACACUGCCUAAAGAAGGGGUGCAGUACGUUGGAAGCGGUGCUGUUACAUGUUCCUGUUGAUUAUCAAUGUGUGGAUCUGUCUUUGUAUAAGGAUAGUCAAAUUGUCUUGUUACUAAACAAAGUUACUAACACAUCAGAAAGUGCUGGUGAUGGUUGUAUGGUGAUUCUGCAAGCAAGUGAUCUACCGUAUAUCUCUAUAUCAAGAUCUGCUCAUAUAGAUGUCUGGAGAUUACCAGAACUUAAGGAUUCUGUUGCUUACUUGCAUAUUGAGGAUGAGAAAGCUCGCACCAUCCCACAUUCUGUAGUUGCUCCCUUGGCAGUUAGUGCAUCUAGAGGCGUGGCUUGUGUAUUUGCUGCAAGAAAGCGUGCUCUGGUCUACAUUUUGGAAGAAGAUGAAGAUGAGGUCUCGGAUGCAGAAUAAUUCGCCAAUUCAUUUUUCCUUCGUAACCAUUUUGUGCUUUUGUUUCGGCCAGUAAACAGUUCAGCCCAAAAAGUAGAAUAAGAGGGAACAACAGAGUAAAUAAUCGACAGUACCGGUUCGUGAGUGGUAAGUAUUGCUCCAUUUUCAUCUGGGCAGUUUCUUCAUGCGUCUUACCAAAUUUCUUCCAAUAUUUUAUCAUUUCAGAUUAUUAUUUUUUGGAAUACACUAAAUUAAUUCCGGAAACAUUUUUCUAGAAGACAUUUAUAAACAUUCAUCCACUUUUAUUCCGGAUAGAGUAUAAAUUUUUUUGAAAUUUAUUGUAUUCCGAGAAAUGAAAUCUAGAAGGAUGAAGUGGAUGGAGAAAUUUGAUAGAGUAAUGGAAGAAAUUAAUUUUUAUCUGUCAUAUUCGUAGAUGAAUUAAAUGUUAGGCGAUGGAACAAAAAUUAAACUUAAAUAUGACAUAUUUAAAUGCAAUAAUUGACUGGCUUUCGUGAAGUAAUGCUUUCAAUUGUUAAAUAGAUUUAACUACGCUUUUGCGUUAUUUUCCUUGCCAUUACAUUGAUAAAUGUAUCAAAUAUUUUCAUGCGAUAUUUUGAGUUGAU